UCGCUGACAAGUGGCAGUUGCUCAGUCAGUAUAGUUCACUUGUGGACUACAGACCACAGAGUUUGUUAGUGCUGUAUGUUUACGCACAUGAAUCAGUGACUGGCAGACAUACAGAUAAUUAUGUAUGUAGAUUUCCAUGGUGGAAUAGAAACAGGCCUGUUAUAUUGCUUUCGGCUUUAGGAAAUUUGACAAGAGGUGAGUGUUGAUAAAACUGUUAUCAAUUCUGAAUAGAUAACUGCAGGUGUGUAGACUGAUGCCACCAGUCUGUCUAAUGGAGCAGCAUGUCACAGAUUUAGAUGUACAUAUUUAUUGCAUGUCUGUCUUUUCAAAAAAUUAUACUAAAUUCUCAGCAUGUAAUCUGCUAUGUAAAUACAUGUCUGAGAUGCAAUUUCUUUCAUAUUGUCAAAGAACUUAAGGCAACUAGUCCUAAACAUAUGGUAUAUGAAAUUGUUUCUCAGGUUUCAAAUUGAUGGACCGAAGAACAUGGGCACAAAGUUUUACGUGUCCUACGUCAUUCAGAAUUACUGGAGUUUUGGACUUUUCCCAUCGUCCGGUAGUCUAGAGAAUGGAAAACACGAUGUUUCGGAAAUUGGAUCUGUUUCCAUCUUCAGGUGAAGAAGAAGACACGUACUCAGUUGAGCACCUUAGAAAGAGAAUCUACAAUGUCAUUGUCAUUUCAACCCCAUACAAAUUUGUUUGGUCCCAGGUUGAGAGAUAUUAUAGCAGCAGCACUGGUCAAGAUGGAACUGGAACAGAAGUUGUGAAUAAGGUGUGAGAACAGUAUUUGUGCAGAAACAUGUUGCCUGAUACAGAGUCAAAGUCUGUGAACAACUUAUGCAAGAUAACGAUGAAUAGGCUUACUGAUGAAAGAACAGAUCAUCUACAGUGUGAAGCAGUGCCUGCAAUAGCAGAGGUGCAUGCCUUGAAAUCAGAACAGGAUGCAAUGAAACUGUAUUUUUACAGACUUAAAUUUCAAAGUAAAAAAAA